rnacentral:rRNA from 1 species
CUUGCGGGUGCUUACCAUGCAAGUCGAACGAUGAUCCCAGCUUGCUGGGGGAUUAGUGGCGAACGGGUGAGUAACACGUGAGUAACCUGCCCUUAACUCUGGGAUAAGCCUGGGAAACUGGGUCUAAUACCGGAUAUGACUCCUCAUCGCAUGGUGGUGGGUGGAAAGCUUUAUUGUGGUUUUGGAUGGACUCGCGGCCUAUCAGCUUGUUGGUGAGGUAAUGGCUCACCAAGGCGACGACGGGUAGCCGGCCUGAGAGGGUGACCGGCCACACUGGGACUGAGACACGGCCCAGACUCCUACGGGAGGCAGCAGUGGGGAAUAUUGCACAAUGGGCGAAAGCCUGAUGCAGCGACGCCGCGUGAGGGAUGACGGCCUUCGGGUUGUAAACCUCUUUCAGUAGGGAAGAAGCGAAAGUGACGGUACCUGCAGAAGAAGCGCCGGCUAACUACGUGCCAGCAGCCGCGGUAAUACGUAGGGCGCAAGCGUUAUCCGGAAUUAUUGGGCGUAAAGAGCUCGUAGGCGGUUUGUCGCGUCUGCCGUGAAAGUCCGGGGCUCAACUCCGGAUCUGCGGUGGGUACGGGCAGACUAGAGUGAUGUAGGGGAGACUGGAAUUCCUGGUGUAGCGGUGAAAUGCGCAGAUAUCACGAGGAACACCGAUGGCGAAGGCAGGUCUCUGGGCAUUAACUGACGCUGAGGAGCGAAGGCAUGGGGAGCGAACAGGAUUAGAUACCCUGGUAGUCCAUGCCGUAAACGUUGGGCACUAGGUGUGGGGGACAUUCCACGUUUUCCGCGCCG